rnacentral:misc_RNA from 1 species
GAAAUGCGAUAAGUAAUGUGAAUUGCAGAAUUCAGUGAAUCAUCGAAUCUUUGAACGCACAUUGCGCCCGCCAGUAUUCUGGCGGGCAUGCCUGUUCGAGCGUCAUUUCAACCAUCAAGCCCCCGGCUUGUGUUGGGGACCUGCGGCUGCCCGCAGGCCCUGAAAAACAGUGGCGGGCUCGCUGUCACACCGAGCGUAGUAGCAUACAUUCUCGCUCAGGGCGUGCUGCGGGUUCCGGCCGUUAAACGACCUCAUAACCCAAGGUUGACCUCGGAUCAGGUAGGAAGACCCGCUGAACUUAAGC